rnacentral:rRNA from 1 species
CAGCCGCCACGGUAAAACGGAGGGGGCUAGCGUUGUUCGGAAUUACUGGGCGUAAAGCGCACGUAGGCGGCUUGGUAAGUUAGAGGUGAAAGCCCAGGGCUCAACCCUGGAAUUGCCUUUAAGACUGCCGAGCUAGUAUGUGAGAGAGGUGAGUGGAAUUCCGAGUGUAGAGGUGAAAUUCGUAGAUAUUCGGAAGAACACCAGUGGCGAAGGCGGCUCACAUGCUCAUUCUAGACGCUGAGGUGCGAAAGCGUGGGGAGCAAACAGGAUUAGAUACCCCUGUAGUCCCUGUCUCUUAUAC